GAUGAUGAUGUCACGAACCCAGCGGCCGUCGUUGAGUGACAGAAGGGGUGUGUGUGUGUUGGUGCGGACAGAGAACUAUACGGACGGUGGGUUGCCCUGCCCCUUCCAACGAGAGAGGGCCGCCGCGUCUUGUCUGCUAUAGAUACGUAUCUAUAGCGCUGGCCUGGAACGUAAAUAUCAGUCGGUGAGUGGCGGCGGCAUCGAUAGCUCGGCUUUCAGCUUCAGGGGCUGGAGAAAAAAGCCAAAGCUGAAGAGUGCAGAGUCAUUAGUGGGAGGAGAAUUCCUCCCAGACUCAGAUUGGACGAUUGUAAUGAGGUUCCAUGUUUAGCCGCCAUUUCGGAAGCAGAACCUAUAAGGAAAAGAUCAAAUCAGAACAUCCCAUGCUGACUGUAUCCAAGGAAUCCAUCCCAGAUCCUGCGUCAUCUUUCUCAUUAACUACCUUACUGAGACUCCACCCAGAGACCCACAGACCUCAAAGGAAAACUGAAUCAUAUCAAAGCAUGAAAGUAGUCUUACUCUUCAGCCUUUUUUUUCUAAUUUACGCUUACUUGGAAUGAAAUAGCCAUGAACAUAAUCGAAAUAUAGUCUAUUUGCCUCUUGUUCUUUGGGAGGGCUUAUUUCUACCACAAAAAUACAAAACUUAGAUCACAAAGAAAGUUAGAAGGAAGCAGUUUUUGAUUGCAUCCACAAAAGGCAGGUCAAAAGCAGCUAAGAUGUGAUAAUAUCUACAUACCAGUGCCUUAAUCCACAUUAAAGGCCUUAAAAUGCAUUUCCAAAAGGCAUCUUCUGUUCUUUAAUAUUGAUUAUAGGCAGAAUGGGAACACUACUGUCCGCAUGCUACUACUUCCAAGCUACGUUUUAGUAUGUGUUGAUGCAGCCUUUGCUUUCUAGUGGGGAAAAGUACAGGAAAGUGUUAUUCCCAGCACCUCCUCACAGAUAUAAACAACAAGGAGACAUCAGAAACACUCCCCUUGCAAAUACCAUAAACUCUGGUAUCAAACCCACAAAAAACAAGGGACAGAUGGAAUAGAGUAAUUAAGAUUAAUGGCUAUGUUCAUCUCAGGAUGGCUUGAUACAGUUGUGUUUGUAGUGUACCUACUGAAAAUAUAAUGCUGAUGCAAACAUAUUUGAAAAGCAUACCAGGAGUAUAAUAAAAAAGUGCCUUGAUAGUUGGUUCUGUCA
rnacentral:lncRNA from 1 species